rnacentral:tRNA from 1 species
UUCCUGGUGGCUCAGAUGGUAAAGCGUCUGCCUACAAUGCGGGAGACCCGGGUUCGAUCCCUGGGUCGGAAA